GACGAACGCUGGCGGCGUGCCUAAUACAUGCAAGUCGAACGCAGCGGGGACGGGUGAGUAACCCGUGGGUAACCUCCCAUCAGAGGGGAUAACACUUGGAAACAGGUGCUAAACCGAUACUGAUGGAUGGACCCGCGGUGCAUUAACUAGUUGGUGCGGUAACGGCUCACCAAGGCCACGAUGCAUAGCCGACCUGGUAGGGUGAGCGUCCAGACUGGGACUGUGACACGGCCCAGACUCCUACGGGAGGCAGCGGUAGGGAAGCAUCGGCAAUGGACGAAAGUCUGGGCGAGCAACGCGGCGUGAGUGAAGAAGGUUUUCGGAUCGUAAAACUCUGUUGUUAGAGUAGCGGUAUCUAACCAGAAAGCCACGGCUAACUACGUGCCAGCAGCCGCGGUAAUUC
rnacentral:rRNA from 1 species